rnacentral:rRNA from 1 species
CCUACGGGAGGCAGCAGUGGGGAAUAUUGCACAAUGGGGGAAACCCUGAUGCAGCGACGCCGCGUGAAGGAAGAAGUAUUUCGGUAUGUAAACUUCUAUCAGCAGGGAAGAAAAUGACGGUACCUGACUAAGAAGCCCCGGCUAACGACGUGCCAGCAGCCGCGGUAAUACGUAGGGGGCAAGCGUUAUCCGGAUUUACUGGGUGUAGAGGGAGCGGAGGCGGUGAUGCAAGUCAGAAGUGAAAGCCUGCAGCUCAACUGCGGGACUGCUUUUGAAACUGUAUGACUAGAUUGCAGGAGAGGUAAGUGGAAUUCCUAGUGUAGCGGUGAAAUGCGUAGAUAUUAGGAGGAACACCAGUGGCGAAGGCGGCUUACUGGACUGUAAAUGACGCUGAGGCUCGAAAGCGUGGGGAGCAAACAGGAUUAGAUACCCGAGUAGUC